rnacentral:lncRNA from 1 species
GAGAGAAACGACAAUGACACUUUCUAGGCGACGUUUGGGAUCAAUCUUGGAGUUCAAAAUUUUUGAUUUGAGGCUGAUUUAAUUGAGGAAAAAUAUCAGCAAUAUAUUAAAGGAUAUGGUGCACAAUUUUUAUUCAAAAAGAAGAAGAAGAAUAUGGUAAAAAGGGAGGUGUAGGCAACGACAACAAUGGAGGAAAAAAGGGAAAAGAAAAAAAAUAAAGAUAAAGAGAGGGAGAG